GGGGACGUAAUGGUCUCGACAUUGGUCGUUUCGCCAGUGGUGCACUCCGGAGGCUCGGCUCCGUCAUCAACGGAACACAGUUUUUAACUGCAAACAACAAUGAAUCAUCUUACGCUCUGGCUGCCUAACAACAGUCUUUAGCGUGAUCCUCCCGGUGUCGCACUAGCGCCGGAUCUGGGUCUCAAUCAAUAGUGCUACGGGUCGCCCUCCCACCUGAAGGUGUGGUCAAGAGAUAAUCAGGUUAGCAUUGCGCCGUUAGCCCUGCGCGUCGGCGCUCGCGCAAUGCGAAAUCCCAAGUAGGCGCACUAUGAGUGUAGAGCUGUUGGUAGGAAGGCUGAUGGACAGGGGUUCGAUUCCCCUCGUCUCCAGAA
rnacentral:tmRNA from 1 species